GAUGAACGCUGGCGGCGUGCCUAAUACAUGCAAGUCGAGCGAACAGAUAAGGAGCUUGCUCCUUUGACGUUAGCGGCGGACGGGUGAGUAACACGUGGGUAACCUACCUAUAAGACUGGGAUAACUUCGGGAAACCGGAGCUAAUACCGGAUAACAUUUGGAACCGCAUGGUUCUAAAGUGAAAGAUGGUUUUGCUAUCACUUAUAGAUGGACCCGCGCCGUAUUAGCUAGUUGGUAAGGUAACGGCUUACCAAGGCAACGAUACGUAGCCGACCUGAGAGGGUGAACGGCCACACUGGAACUGAGACACGGUCCAGACUCCUACGGGAGGCAGCAGUAGGGAAUCUGCCGCAAUGGGCGAAAGCCUGACGGAGCAACGCCGCGUGAGUGAUGAAGGGUUUCGGCUCGUAAAACUCUGUUAUUAGGGAAGAACAAACGUGUAAGUAACUGUGCACGUCUUGACGGUACCUAAUCAGAAAGCCACGGCUAACUACGUG
rnacentral:rRNA from 1 species